rnacentral:rRNA from 1 species
CGCGUAGGCGGUCUUGCGUGUCAAGUGUGAAAUCUCUGGGCUCAACCCGGAAAGUGCGCUUGAAACUACAGGACUCGAGUCUGGGAGAGGGAGUCGGAAUAUAGGGUGUAGCGGUGAAAUGCGUAGAUAUCCGGAGGAACACCGGUGGCGAAGGCGGCUUCCUGGACCGACACUGACGCUGAGGCGCGAAAGCUAGGGGAGCAAACG